UUCGGUCUGGUGGCGAGUGGCGAACGGGUGAGUAAUAUAUCGGAACGUGCCCAGUCGUGGGGGAUAACGUAGUGAAAAUUACGCUAAUACCGCAUACGAUCUAAGGAUGAAAGCGGGGGAUCGCAAGACCUCGCGCGAUUGGAGCGGCCGAUAUCAGAUUAGGUAGUUGGUGAGGUAAAGGCUCACCAAGCCAACGAUCUGUAGCUGGUCUGAGAGGACGACCAGCCACACUGGAACUGAGACACGGUCCAGACUCCUACGGGAGGCAGCAGUGGGGAAUUUUGGACAAUGGACGCAAGUCUGAUCCAGCCAUUCCGCGUGCAGGACGAAGGCCUUCGGGUUGUAAACUGCUUUUGUACAGAACGAAAAGGUCUCUAUUAAUACUAGGGGCUCAUGACGGUACUGUAAGAAUAAGCACCGGCUGACUACGUGCCAGCAGCCGCGGUAAUACGUAGGGUGCAAGCGUUAAUCGGAAUUACUGGGCGUAAAGCGUGCGCAGGCGGUUAUAUAAGACAGAUGUGAAAUCCCCGGGCUCAACCUGGGAACUGCAUUUGUGACUGUAUAGCUGGAGUGCGGCAGAGGGGGAUGGAAUUCCGCGUGUAGCAGUGAAAUGCGUAGAUAUGCGGAGGAACACCGAUGGCGAAGGCAAUCCCCUGGGCCUGCACUGACGCUCAUGCACGAAAGCGUGGGGAGCAAACAG
rnacentral:rRNA from 1 species